rnacentral:rRNA from 1 species
AUUGAACGCUGGCGGCAGGCUUAACACAUGCAAGUCGAGCGGUGAAGGUUGCUUCGGUAACUGACCUAGCGGCGGACGGGUGAGUAAUGCUUAGGAAUCUACCUAUUAGUGGGGGACAACAUUCCGAAAGGAAUGCUAAUACCGCAUACGCCCUACGGGGGAAAGCAGGGGAUCUUCGGACCUUGCGCUAAUAGAUGAGCCUAGGUCGGAUUAGCUAGUUGGUGGGGUAAAGGCCUACCAAGGCGACGAUCUGUAGCGGGUCUGAGAGGAUGUUCCGCCACACGGGGACUGAGACGCGGGCGAGACACCUACGGGGGGCUGCAGUGGGGAGUAUUGGAUAAUGGGGGGAACCCUGAUCCAGCAAGGCCGCGUGCGUGAAGAAGGCCUUUUGGUUGUAGAGCACUUUAAGCGAGGAGGGGGCUACCGAGAUUAAUACUCUUGAAUAGUGGACGUUACUCACAGAGUAGGCACCGGCUAACACUGUGCCAGCCGCCGCCGUAACAC